AAAGGGACUAGCUAGGGUUUGGCUGAGAUCAAAAGCUGUUGUGUAAGGAUGAUGGAGAUGCCAUGGGAAAAUUUUGGAAAGGUUCUGGCCGAAGUGGUGGAACUGAUGUAUUAUGAUUCCGAUUAUGAAUCAGAAUCUGAGUUAGAUUCUCCAAAAUUGAAACGUCAGAAGAGGGCCCUCUAUACACCGGAAGAGGAGUUUGAGGUAAUCCGGGACCAAGUGUUGAAGAGCGAGGGGUUCGACGUUGAUUUCUCGAAUAUCCGCUGCGAGUUCAACUUUUCACCCGUGGAUCUUCUUCACGGUAACAAGUUGACUUAACCACCACAAAAAGAUGGUUACCUCAUCAACAUGUUCUGCAACAUGGCUGUCGAGGAGUUUAACAAAUUUUAUGGUAAGAAGGUUGAGUUUGUGGAGGCUCAUAAGGCCGUUUGUCACUUUCAAGCCGGGCGCAAGUUUUACAUCACAUUCCAAGGCCGUGAAGAUAAUCAGCUGCAGCUGUACCAGGCAAUGAUCCAGUAUCAUUCCAUCAAAUUAACUCAAGUUGUCUUCUGCAGGCCUAAACCACCCAAGG